UAGAAAUCACAGGGUGAGAUAAUUAAACCAAAUCCAAACAGUUUAUUACAACAAGAAAUAUAAAUGGUUUGAAUCUAUUAUUUGAAGGAAGAUUGGAUCAAAAAUAAAAAAUCUAAUUAUGAGCCAUUUCAAGAAUAUGACUAAAAUAUAAGGCUACAAAAAGACUAAAGCCUUGUUCCAGGCCUCUAGGAGGCAUAGUAACAAGAAAUGGGCCUGGUUUGAGACAAGAGAGUUAAUUAGUAAACCAAGGUGCCAUGAGAAGGGAAACGUCCCCCUCACUCUCCUGGUAAUGGUAAUGAUUUUAGGAAUUCUAACAUGCUUAACCAGGCCACCUGUAAAGAAACUAUACUUUCUUUUCUUGGAAACAGCACAAAAGAAACUAUUAAAACUAGCUAAUGAACUAUGUAUGCCUUGAAGUUCAAUCUUCUUGUGAAAUAUGUAUAAGAACCCUUUGAUCAAUGUUUUAUCUCUACCAGUACCCCCUUCUCCAUCUGCAAGUCCACAUAACAUAUCUAUAUCUUCAAGGACAGAAUUCUGAAGAUUAAAGAAAUAAGUAUACCAGCAUAUACUUUCCCUAGUAUUUAAACUUAGUUACAACAGGGUAUGAUGGUACAUGCCUGAAGUCCCAACAUUCUGGUGGUUAAGGUGGAAGGGUUGCCUUGAGUUCCAGGCUAGCCUGGUGUAUAUAGCAAGUUCUAGGGCAACCAGAGCUAUAUCGCAACAUCCUCUAAACAAACAAACAAAGAUUAAGUAGUUUCCAAGCCCCCAAAUCAGAUAUAUAGCUACUGCUGGAAAUAUAGGUACAUUCCUCUCCUAACACACAAACUCUUCAAGUACUGCUUGCUUUAUCUUCUGCUUAAUCAAGUCACUAACUGCUUUACUGUGACACAUCCAAAUAUUGUUUUCCACUGCAGGUUUCAAGGAUUCCUGUGUACCAGGGCAGAGGCCCCUGAGGCUCUGAGCGCGACUCCUGAGGCAGCACUUCAGGCAACAUUGAGUUGUAUUUCCUGUUGCCAGUCACAGACUCAGCCCUCAGGGGAUCACAACGUGGUGAGGGACACACAGGUCCAAGGUCUGGUCCCAGUCCUCAUUGGCCACAGUCUGGUGGAGGUGACAAGAACCUGAGGCCUGAUCUCAGCCCUAAGGGGUCACAAUCUGGUGAGGAACACACAGGAAUCAGUUUUGGUCCCAGCCCUCAUCAGUCACAGUCUGGUGGGAGAAUCAUUGUCACCAAGGCAGGUCCCAGCACUUGGGGAUCAAAGUUUGGUGGAGACACGGGAACAGAACCUGAGUCCACUGCGGGGGGCCAGUGUCUUGGACCAUUCAAUUGGCAGCGAUUUCCCCCCACCCGGGGUCCUGGAAAUUGCAGCUGGGGGAGGGGGGCUGUAGAAAUAACUAAUCAGAGCUAUAGGUACCGCUUUCAAAAAGCCAGACUCCAGGCAGUCUGCCACUCUGCCAGCCAGUCGGAAGGAGUAUGAAAGGUGGGGUCUCAAGGGGCGGUGCUAAUCAGGAGGAAAGGGAGCGGAGCCCCGGGACCACCAAUCAUAACCAGAACCUUCCAGUGCCGCUGCCCAACUAGAGGGCGAGUCUUUUUGGUCGUCUGGACAGGGUGGGGAUGGGUUCGUGGGUUUCAGCGCUGGAAGGGCCGGAGAGGUCUGGCACAAGUGUGGAGGGCUCUAGUUCGGUGGCCCGGGGCGAGGGGGGCACUCACCCAGUCUACGCGAUCGCCACGUCGCUUCCCGGCACAGGUGGAGAAAUCUCCUGGUUUUGUUUUUACAGAGUGAUUAUCACAUUGUUGAAACUUUGACUGGUGGUUACACCCUCCCACACAGCACUUCAUGUUGCCAUAGGAGCCAACCACAGAGACAGCACCUGAGGCUCUGAUGUGUGUGAUCAUCUCUACAAGCAAUGCCACAUCUCUGUCCUGGCUGGUGUCCCAAUGUCUGCAGUGGACUUGGUUUUCAGAUGAUGCCCAGCAAGUGUUGACCACAGGACUCCAUCAUCCAGUCGACUAGCAGUGGGGAGGAUGGGGAAUGCACUGCUGGCCUCUCUGCCUUAUGAGGACGGGCUGCUGUAGGACUCUGGGCAGCACCAAGGCUUCUUCUCACCCUGUGACACUACUGCCCCUGGGUUUCUGCUUCACCCCAUCUGCAUGCUGUUACCCCUUUUCUUUUUGGUUUUUUUGAGACAGGGUUUCACUGUGUAACCCUGGCCAUCCUGGAACUCGCUAUGUAGACCAUGAUAGCCCCUAACUCACAGAGAUAAGCCUGCCUUUGCCUCCCAAGUGCUGUGAUUAAAGGAGUGUGCUGCCAUGCCCAGCCAUGCCCUCUUUCUUUCAGAGCCAGUUGGGGACUACUUUGAGCCCUGUCUCCUGCCAGGGUGUCAUUUCUAGAACACAUUGUCAACGGUCACCCCAGCUUACACUCCCUGUGAAAGACAACUUCCAACAGAGCCAAUAGUACCCAGCACUCCUUAGAGAGGUCUAAGAUGGUAACUUGCUGGAGACAGUUUCAUGUAAUCCAAUUUAGCCUUAAAGUCACUAUGUAGCAGGUGAUGACCUUAAACUCCUGUUACUUCUGCUUCCACCUCCCAUGAGCUGGGAUUGCAGGGGUG